GACGAACGCUGGCGGCGUGCUUAACACAUGCAAGUCGAGCGGUAAGGCCCUUUCGGGGGUACACGAGCGGCGAACGGGUGAGUAACACGUGGGUGACCUGCCCUCAGCUCUGGGAUAAGCCUGGGAAACUGGGUCUAAUACUGGAUAUGACUCCACGGUGCAUGUCGUGGGGUGGAAAGCCUUGUGCGGCUGAGGAUGGGCCCGCGGCCUAUCAGCUUGUUGGUGGGGUGANGGCCUACCAAGGCGACGACGGGUAGCCGGCCUGAGAGGGCGACCGGCCACACUGGGACUGAGACACGGCCCAGACUCCGUACGGGAGGCAGCAGUGGGGAAUCUUGCGCAAUGGGCGAAAGCCUGACGCAGCGACGCCGCGUG
rnacentral:rRNA from 1 species